GUUUUCUUUUCAGCAACAUGUAUACUAAAAUCGGGGUGAUACAGAGAAGAUGAGCACGGCCCCUGCACAGGAUGACAGACAGAUUUGUGAAGCAUUCCAUUUUUUC